UGGGCCAGGAUUGAGCCUGGCAGGAUUCAAGCUUGGGAGUCGAAGAGGGAGUCUUGGGUGAUGAACCCUGCAUUUUGGGUUCCAGCGCUGAGCUGAAACCUUAAUGGCUCUUCGUUGGUGUAGAGGUUGACAGCGGAUCCGCUUACCACAAUAAUGAAGUGUCGCAACUUAGCCUUACCACCAGCCAUCAGAUGCCUCCUGCAUUUGCCUAUUGAGUGAAAGCCCUGAUGAAGACAAGCACCAACCUAAGAAACGAAGUUCUAGAUGGGAGUGAAAUCUUCAGUGGCUCUGUCCGCACAUGAGCCAAGAAUAUCAGGCUGGCGUUUGCUAUUCUGAUGUCAUGAUACUAAAAACCUAUGUUGCCUCCACUCUCAGUAAACCAACGUCCCAAGCCUGAAA